rnacentral:rRNA from 1 species
GUGAACGCUGGUAACGUGGAUACCGGCAUGCAAGUCGAGCGGCCAGCAAUGGCAGCGGCGAACGGCUUAGUAACACGUGGGUACAUACCCAGAAGUGGAGGACAGCUCGUCGAAAGACGGGGUAAUACUCCAUAGUCUCGCAAGAGUAAAGCAGCAAUGCGCUUCUGGAAUGGCCUGCGGCCUAUCAGCUUGUUGGUGAGGUAAUGGCUCACCAAGGCUAUGACGGGUAGGGGGCGUGAGAGCGCGACCCCCAAGAAUUGCACUGCGACACGGGCAAUACUCCUACGGGAGGCUGCAGUCGAGAAUCUUCCACAAUGGACGAAAGUCUGAUGGAGCGACGUUACGUGAAGGACGAAGCCCUUCGGGGUGUAAACUUCUUUUAUCUGGGAGGAAGUCAUUGACAGUACCAGAUGAAUAAGGGGAUCCUAAUUCUGUGCCAGCAGGAGCGGUAAUACAGAAUCCCCGAGCGUUACCCGGAUUUAUUGGGCGUAAAGGGUGCGUAGGUGGUCAAGUAAGUUUUAAGUUAAAGCUCAUCGGCUUAACCUUUGAGAUGCUUAAAAUACUGCUAGACUUGAGGGCGCUAGAGGCUAACGGAACCGACGGAGUAGGGGUGAAAUCCGUUGAUAUCGUCGGGAACACCAAAAGCGAAGGCAGUUAGCUGGGGCGACCCUGACACUGAGGCACGAAAGCGUGGGUAGCAAAAAGGAUUAGAUACCCUUGUAGUCCACGCUGUAAACGUUGAAUACUGGAUAUUGGCAGUGUCGACCCUGCCAGUGUCGAAGCAAACGCGUUAAGUAUUCCGCCUGGGAAGUACGGCCGCAAGGCUAAAACUCAAAGGAAUAGACGGGGACUCACACAAGUAGUGGACCAUGUGGCUUAAUUCGACAACAACCGGAGAACCUUACCAGGUCUAGAAAUCUAAGUGAAUACCAGCAGAGACGUUGGUAGCCGCAAGGCACUUAGACAGGUGCUGCAUGGUUGUCGUCAGUUCGUGUCUUGAGACGUACCGUUAAUUCGGGUAACGAACGCAACCCUUGCUCUGUGUUUUACAUGUCACAGAGGACUGCCCGAGAUAAUUGGGAGGAAGGCGAGGAUGACGCCAAAUCAGCAUGGCCCUUGAUGACCUGGGCCGCACACGUGGUACAAUGGCCGAUACAAUGCGCACGAAGCCGAAAGGCGGAGUUUAAUCGCACCAAAGUCGGUCUCAGUUCGGAUUGAGGGCUGCAACCCGCCCUCAUGAAGCUGGAAUUACUAGUAAUCGCCGAUCAGCUACGCGGCGAUGAAUACGUUCCUGAGUCUUGUACUCACCGCCCGUCAAUGCAAGCGAGUUGGGGAUAGCCGAAGUUCCUCGUAAGAGGGCCUAAGCUAGAUUCGAUGAGAGGGCAU